ACACCGAGGAAAACAUGUGUAUUGGGUGAUGUGUGUAUCGUUUGCGGGUUUUCCUUUCUUGUGUUAGAAAAAUCAGCCGACGGAAAGGAAAAUUUACAUAAAUAUUAUGAAAACAAGCUCAAAUUAAACACAGAAAGAAUCCAAUGCAUACGAAAAGUGACCCAAGUAAGUGUAGAACUUGAAGGUGCAAGUAAAUAUAAUGCAGGUGUGUGUCGGAAGUGUUUUCGAAAAGUUGAACCUGUUAUAAAAGCAGAGGAGAAAAACAAUGUUACUAAACAGAAACUUAAAGAAGGUGUCGAGUCUGUGUAUCGAACGCAGGUGAUGCAACUGCCUUCCCCUCGGCGAAUAAACAUAACGAAGCGGAUGUUGAGCAGCCCUGGUGCAAGUAAACCUGAGAAUAGACCUACGAAGAUGCAUGUACUCGCUAGUGUGACAUACGUUUCACCUGUCAAAAUAUCGCCUUUCAAGGAAAUAACUGGUGAGAGGCAAAUUGAGAGACAACGUCUUCAGAGGCAACAGGUCACAGCUAUGGAGUCAUUGGAGUGCAUAUCUGGUUUUAUUUGUUUGUUGAGACUUGACAAAUAUCAACAAAGAAAAGUUCCUGGACAAAACUGAUGUUUCAGUGUACUAUCCAAGUGGAAAGAAGACUACUCUUAUACAGAAUGAGACCCAUCAGAAAAUCUGCAAGGCAUUGAUCCGUGGUACAAACAUUGAUAAUACCAUUGUGGACACCCUGUGUUCGUCUAAUCCAAUGUGCAUUAUAACUGGAGCAGCAAAGAUUGUUAAAUCGGAGAGUGUGAACAUCUGGAAGCGCGGAUCUGGAUGUUCAUAACAGAAGAAAGGCUAUGGGGACUUUUUCAACUUCAGUUAGGAUCACAUUCAUGAAUACCUCCAGGAGCAUUGUCCUGCUCUUCUGUCUAUUAUCACUGCUACGGUUUGUGACUUGACACCUAGUGUUUCUAGUAAACCAUUCCAACGUAUAA